AGCAGCCGCGGUAAUUCCAGCUCCAAUAGCGUAUAUUAAAGUUGUUGCAGUUAAAAAGCUCGUAGUUGAAUUUCGGGGUUAGUAGGUUGGUCAUGCCUCUGGUAUGUACUGGUCUCACUGAUUCCUCCUUCCUGAUGAGCCGUAAUGCCAUUAAUUUGGUGUUGCGAGGAAUCUGGACUGUUACUUUGAAAAAUUAGAGUGUUUAAAGCAGGCUAACGCUUGAAUACAUUAGCAUGGAAUAAUGAAAUAGGACGUUCGAUCUUAUUUUGUUGGUUUCUAAGAUUGACGUAAUGAUUAAUAGGGAUA
rnacentral:rRNA from 1 species